rnacentral:lncRNA from 1 species
AGUGUAAGGGUUACGCCCGCUUCACAGUGACAGACCAAACUCCCCAUUUAACGCACCGCAAACAACCGCAAACAGUCCAUUUGCACAACUGCAAACUCCCCAUUUGCACAAGGUUGGAUACCAAGCUAGCCAUGUCCCGUUCCUUGUCCUCACUGAUGUCAUUGAAGGUCUCUUCCUCCACCCAGCCACGUACAACACCAA